UACGUAGGCAGCGAGCGUUGUUCGGAGUUACUGGGCGUAAAGAGUGCGUAGGCGGUUUUCUAAGUUUGGUGUGAAAUCGCCCGGCUCAACUGGGCGGGGUCAGCGGAUACGGCAGAGCUUGAGCAAGCUAGGGGGCAAUGGAAUUCCCGGUGUAGUGGUGGAAUGCGUAGAUAUCGGGAGGAACACCAGUGGCGAAGGCGGUUGCCUGGGGCUUUGCUGACGCUGAUGCGCGAAAGCGUGGGGAGCGAUCCGG
rnacentral:rRNA from 1 species